UAUGCUGCCAAAUAAGAAGAACAAGAAGAGUAACAGAUGAAAGAGGAAAAGAAGGAAGGAGGAGGAAGAAGAGAAGAAAGAAAAGAAGAAGAGAAAGAAAGGGCAGGAAGGAAAAGGAGGAGAAAUAGUAAUGCAGAAGUAAUGCAGUAACAGCAAUGCAGAAGGACUAUAAACACGACUCCAGGAAAAUGCCAUGUGAACUUGUGUGACUUUAAAAAUGUGAAGACAUGCAAGAUCCCAAAAUUAAAGACCUUAAAGAUUCUUUGUACCCGUGAUUCUGAAAAGCUUUGGAAGGAAUAUCCAUUUUGGAGAUCAACUCAACCUUUACCAUCCCAGGGAGUCAAGGAUGUUGGCUGAGAAUAUGGUAAGUGGUCUGAGUCUCCUGUCCUUAUUACACAGCUGCAGGCUGCAUCAUAUAUCUGCAGUGGUAACAGAUUUCUCAAAAGAUGAAUAGAAUCUAAUGGAGUAUCUUUUAUUUAUCGGCACUGAAAACUACAUAGCAGUAUGGCAGAGAUCCAGGACACAUGCUCCUCUCCCUGUGGAAAGAUGAGUGUUUCAGAAACUGAUCUCCAAGGACAAAGGUCUAGACAGAGUCACUUAUUCAUAGCAGAAAGAGGAGUGUGUUUUUUAAUUUCUAUUCAAACAAGAGAACAUUACAGAAAGAUGUAUUCUAUUGGUUUUUGCUUUCAACAAACAGCUAGCACUAUUUAUAAAAUUUUCAUCUAAAAAAGUUUCACCUAAAAUCCUUUCAAAGUAUUCAGUAUAAAUUAUUCAGUAUGAGAAUGUCAUGGAGCUUUUGAACAUUUAUAAAAUAUUUCAAUUUAUUUUUUUUCUAUAGACUUAAAUAAGUCAUUAGGAAAUUUACAAUAUAUGAAUUAGAUAUUCUGAUUGACCUAACAAAACUUAAUGAAGGUAAAGGCUACUGUGGGAAUCCUACUAAGGAGUGGAUGGAAUUUAAAAUGUUUACAUAACAGGAGGCCUUUCAUUGGUAAAUAAAAUAGAGAUAACAUAUCUCACUUUUUUCCUCUUUCACUUUAUCUGUUGUUUUAUCUUUUUCUUUCAUUUUUCAUGAUGACUGUCUUACUCACUUUCCUUGUCACUGGGACACAACAAGGUAAGAGAGGAAAAGUUUGUUUUGGGCUCCUGCUUUACAGUAGUUCUAGUCCACUGGCUGGUUCCAGGGCAGGGAGCGUGGCAGUGGAGCACGGCUGAGGAGAUUUGUUCCUGGAAUGGCAAUUGAGAAACAGCAAGCCAUCAAGGGAGGAGAGAAGAAGAAUAAACCCUUCCAGUUCCUGCCCCCAGAGACCCAUUUCCUCCAGCCAGGCUUCACCUCCAACCUCACAUUUAACUCUAAACUCCUCAAUUGACUAAUCCACUGAUGAGAAUCAUUUCCACCCAGAUUACUCAGUCACUUCGGAGAAGUCACACCUGUGAGUACAGGUGGUCUGGGGGAGAACAUAACAAUGUCCUUUUAUGUAUCAAGAAGGGAAAAGCAUGAUUAUUUUCCUUUCUAAAAUGUUGGUCAUUUGCUAAAGCACUAAUAGGCAAUACUGCCAACGUCUCAAAUGUUAUGGGCUGAAUUAUAAACUUCAACUAUAUGUCGAAGUACUAAACCUCAUUAUCUCAGAAAGUAUCUGCAUUUGGCUGUGAAAUUUUUAAAAAGGAAAUUAAAGUUACACAAGUCAGUUGAAUGGGUUGUAAUCCAAUAUGACUGAUAUCUGCAUAAGAAGAUGAGAAUAUCUGAGAUGCAUACAGAGAAAAUACAAUAAAAAGACAGCCUACCACAAACC